rnacentral:tRNA from 1 species
GGUAGAGUGGCCGAGUGGCCAGGCGGCGGUCUGUAGUAUCGUGUAGAUAGGUUCGAUUCCUUUUUCUAUCA